AUGCGUGGUUUCGAAAACGUAAAGAUACCCGUCUUUACGUUAACCUAACCAAAUUUUUAAUUUUCGAUGUAAUUUUCGACAUAGAUCAUUUUGCGAGCGAUUAUUUUGUGUUAUUAGUGUGAUACCUUGUAUUCGUAUAAAAACAUUCCAAGUUUACUGUGUUAUUAAUUUUUGAGUAAAUAAGAUUUGUGUUCGUAGAAAGGAAAGAAAAUGACAUCUGCAUCAUCAUCCGAAUCGGAGUACGAAUUGGAAGAUCUACGUAAGAAUAAACGAAGAAAGCUGUUAUGGGAAGAAAGCAGUUCAUCCGAUUCCGAGGACGAAGAAAAUAACCCUACAAAUCCUAGAGCACCUAAAAAUUUUCGUCAAAGACCCGACCAUUUUUUUUUAAGCAAUGGAAUGAUUCGGAAUUUAAAACGAGAUUCCGCUUAAAUAAGGAAACCGUUUGUGUCUCUUUGAAGACUUAAUUAACAAUUUACUUCAACCGCUAAACAGAAAUCAUGCUGUAUCGCCGAUGACACAGCUGCUAUUGGUGUUGCGAUUGUUAGCUACAGGCAGUGUGUACACAACAAUUGGCGAUUUUGGGGGUGUACAUAAAUCUACAGUUUGCCGCAUUAUGAAAAAAGUGCUUGAUGGUAUUUGUGAACUGACCGGUGAACACAUAAAAUUGCCUUCAAUUCCCGACGACAUAGCUACAAAAUAACUGGAAUUUUUGGGUAUUGCUAAAUUUCCAAAAGUGAUUGGAGCAAUAGAUUGUACACACAUAAAGAUUCAGUCG